AUUGAACGCUGGCGGCAUGCCUUACACAUGCAAGUCGAACGGCAGCGGACCUUCGGGUGCCGGCGAGUGGCGAACGGGUGAGUAAUAUAUCGGAGCGUACCUUUCAGUGGGGGAUAACGUAGCGAAAGUUACGCUAAUACCGCAUAUUCUGUGAGCAGGAAAGCAGGGGAUCGCAAGACCUUGCGCUGAUUGAGCGGCCGAUAUCAGAUUAGCUAGUUGGUGAGGUAAAGGCUCACCAAGGCGACGAUCUGUAGCGGGUCUGAGAGGAUGAUCCGCCACACUGGAACUGAGACACGGUCCAGACUCCUACGGGAGGCAGCAGUGGGGAAUUUUGGACAAUGGGCGCAAGCCUGAUCCAGCCAUGCCGCGUGAGUGAAGAAGGCC
rnacentral:rRNA from 1 species